rnacentral:rRNA from 1 species
CCUACUGGUGGCUGCAGUGCGGAAUAUUGGUCACUGGGCGCGAGCCUGAACCAGCCAAGUAGCGUGAAGGAUGACUGCCCUACUGGUUGUAACCUUCUUUUAUAAAGUAAUAAAGUGAGGCACGUGUGCCUUUUUGUAUGUACUUUAUGAAUAAGGGUCGGUUAACUCCGUGCCAGCAGCCGCGGUAAUACGGAGGAUCCGAGCGUUCUCCGGAUUUAUUGGGUUUAAAGGGAGCGUAGAUGGGUUGUUAAGUCCGUUGUGAAAGUUUUCGGUUCAACCGUAAAAUUGCAAUUGAUACUGGCAGUCUUGAGUACAGGUGAGGUAGGCGGAAUUCGUGGUGUAGCGGUGAAAUGCUUAGAUAUCACGAAGAACUCCGAUUGCGAAGGCAGCUUACUAAACUGCCACUGACAUUGAUGCUCGAAAGUGUGGGUAUCAAACAGGAUUAGAUACCCGAGUAGUC